GACGAACGCUGGCGGCGUGCUUAACACAUGCAAGUCGAACGGAAAGGCCCUGCUUUUGUUGGGUGCUCGAGUGGCGAACGGGUGAGUAACACGUGAGUAACCUGCCCUUGACUUUGGGAUAACUUCAGGAAACUGGGGCUAAUACCGGAUAGGAGCUCCUGCUGCAUGGUGGGGGUUGGAAAGUUUCGGCGGUUGGGGAUGGACUCGCGGCUUAUCAGCUUGUUGGUGGGGUAGUGGCUUACCAAGGCUUUGACGGGUAGCCGGCCUGAGAGGGUGACCGGCCACAUUGGGACUGAGAUACGGCCCAGACUCCUACGGGAGGCAGCAGUGGGGAAUAUUGCACAAUGGGCGGAAGCCUGAUGCAGCAACGCCGCGUGCGGGAUGACGGCCUUCGGGUUGUAAACCGCUGUCGCAUGUGACGAAGCGUGAGUGACGGUAAUGGGUAAAGAAGCACCGGCUAACUACGUG
rnacentral:rRNA from 1 species